UGGUUCUGGCAUCGAUGAAGAACGCAGCGAAAUGCGAUAAGUAAUGCGAAUUGCAGAAUUCAGUGAAUUAUCGAAUCUUUGAACGCACAUUGCGCCCCUUGGUAUUCCGGGGGGCAUGCCUGUUCGAGCGUCAUUUCAACCCUCAAGCUCUGCUUGGUCUUGGGCACUGCUGGGAACAGCUUGCCUCAAAAUCAGUGGCGGUGCCAUUGAGCUCUACGCGUAGUAAUAUAUCCCUCGCGAUUGAGUCUUGAUGGAUGCUUGCCAGCAAUCUUCAAUUUUUUCAGGUUGACCUCGGAUCAGGUAGGGAUACCCGCUGA
rnacentral:misc_RNA from 1 species